CACCGAGGAGGCAAGCGUUAUCCGGAAUUAUUGGGCGUAAAGCGUCCGUAGGUGGUUCACCAAGUCUGCUGUCAAAGGGUGGGGCUUAACCUCAUAAAGGCAGUGGAAACUGGUGAGCUAGAGUGCGGUAGGGGUAAGGGGAAUUCCCAGUGUAGCGGUGAAAUGCGUAGAGAUUGGGAAGAACAUCGGUGGCGAAAGCGCCUUACUGGGCCUGCACUGACAUUGAGGGACGAAAGCUAGGGGAGCGAAAGGG
rnacentral:rRNA from 1 species